CUUUGUUCUUGGGUACGUGGAGACAUCCUUUCCAGUCCCCUUGGGUUAGGGUCACAUGACAGCUGACCAAUGGAAUGUGAUCAGAAGUGAUGUGUCACUUCCUUUCUGAGGGAGCAAAAAGCCUCUGCAAGAUUUUCCAGGCUUCAUCUUCCCCUUUGUGGAGGAGGCCUGGCUUUGAGAGGGUGGAGUCCCAAGACGGAAGCCGCCUGGAUCCCUGAGUCACCGUGCGUCAUCCGUGGAGGACGGCAGCCCCGGAGACUCGCCUGGACCCGGAGCAGGCUUUGCCUGAGCAAGAAAUAAACUUCUGUGGUGUCCAGCCAGUAGAUCUUCUCGUCAUUGCCGUUUGCUCAUUCACAGCAGCAUAACCUAUCCUGACUGGUACAACCUAUCCAUGGAUGUUUCCAGAAAAUAACCAGUUUGGGGAAUCCAGGGUACCACCUCUCGCAUCUUUCAUCCCACCCACCGCCCUUCCAGGCCUCUCCUGAUCUCUUCCAAUGGGCUGUUGCUGCAGUGGCUGGGAGCAACCACAGACACACUGCCAACUGGAUGGGCACCAUCCCCUCGUAGGACCUCUGGGGCGGGAGCCAUGGUGCCAGUUUUUUAAGAAGGAAAGAAAAUGUCCUUGUGAAUGGUUCUGAUCUGCCAGUUCCUGAUGAACGUGUCCUCGUUUGGGCAGAGCUGGGGACCCUGCACAUGUUUGCAUUCUCGUAUUCCUGUCUGCAUCAGUUACUAGUGGUGGACAGCCUUUGUAGGGGUCCCAAAGAUUCACGCCUCUUGGUUCCACCUCUGGGAGAACCCACCCCAGGUAAUUGUCUCUUCUUCAUAUUUUUUGAAGUUUUCUUCAUAGCAGACACAGUACUUUCCUCAACAGAAAUAAAUGUUUCUUUCAAGUCGUAAGAUAUCAGAGAGUGAGUACCUCAUCUCUGGAAGGACGUUCUGGCUGAAGGUAUUUACCAAGCACCUACUGUGUGCCAGGCACUGUUCUAGGCGCUGGAGAUGGAGAGAUGAACAGGGCAGCAGGCCGACAUGGUCUCUGCUCUCAUGGAAUGUUCUAGUGGGUUUGAGGAGAGAUGGACACGCAAGUGAGAGA
rnacentral:lncRNA from 1 species